CUCCAGCUGACGAGUCCCAAAUAGGACGAAACGUGCGUCCUGAAU
rnacentral:hammerhead_ribozyme from 1 species